rnacentral:rRNA from 1 species
UACAGAGGGUGCGAGCGUUAAUCGGAAUUACUGGGCGUAAAGGGCGCGUAGGCGGCCCAUUAAGUUAGGCGUGAAAUUCCUGGGCUCAACCUAGGGACUGCGCAUAAGACUGGUGGGCUAGAGUAUUGUAGAGGGCAGUGGAAUUUCCGGUGUAGCGGUGAAAUGCGUAGAGAUCGGAAGGAACACCAGUGGCGAAGGCGGCUGCCUGGACAAAUACUGACGCUGAUGCGCGAGAGCGUGGGGAGCAAACAGG